rnacentral:rRNA from 1 species
CCUACGGGUGGCAGCAGUGGGGGAUAUUGCACAAUGGGGGGAACCCUGAUGCAGCGACGCCGCGUGGGUGAAGAAGCGCCUCGGCGCGUAAAGCCCUGUCAGCAGGGGAGAAAAAGACGGUACCUGAAGCAGAAGCCCCGGCUAACUACGGGCCAGCAGCCGCGGUAAUACGUAGGGGGCAAGCGUUAUCCGGAUUUACGGGGGGUAAAGGGGGCGCAGAGGGGGAGGCAAGCCAGGAGGGAAAGCCCGGAGCCCAACCCCGGGACUGCUGUUGGAACUGCGUGGCUGGAGUGCAGGAGGGGCAGGCGGAAUUCGUGGUGUAGCGGUGAAAUGCGUAGAUAUCAGGAGGAACACCGGUGGCGAAGGCGGCCUGCUGGACUGCAACUGACGUUGAGGCCCGAAAGCGUGGGGAGCAAACAGGAUUAGAUACCCUAGUAGUC